rnacentral:rRNA from 1 species
ACGAAGGGGGCUAGCGUUGUUCGGAAUUACUGGGCGUAAAGCGCACGCAGGCGGUUCGACCAGUCAGAAGUGAAAGCCCCGGGCUCAACCUGGGAAUUGCUUUUGAUACUGUCGAGCUUGAAUCACGGAGAGGGUAGUGGAAUUCCGAGUGUAGAGGUGAAAUUCGUAGAUAUUCGGAAGAACACCAGUGGCGAAGGCGACUACCUGGCCGUUGAUUGACGCUCAUGUGCGAAAGCGUGGGGAGCAAACAGGA